UACCUGGUUGAUCCUGCCAGUAGUCAUAUGCUUGUCUCAAAGAUUAAGCCAUGCAUGUGUAAGUACAUGCCGAUUUUAAGGCGAAACCGCGAAUGGCUCAUUAAAUCAGUUAUGGUUCCUUAGAUCGUAACCAUUCCCACUUGGAUAACUGUGGUAAUUCUAGAGCUAAUACAUGCACGCAUGCUCCGACCCACGCCUCGCGGUGGGGGAAAGAGCGCUUUUAUUAGACCAAAACCAAUCGGGUCGCCCCUCGCGGGUGCCCGCCAAAUCAUGGUGACUCUGGAUAACUUUCGGCCGAUCGCACGGUCCUCGCACCGGCGACGUGUCUUUCAAAUGUCUGCCUUAUCAACUGUCGAUGGUAGGUUAUGCGCCUACCAUGGUCGUAACGGGUAACGGGGAAUCAGGGUUCGAUUCCGGAGAGGGAGCCU
rnacentral:rRNA from 1 species